rnacentral:rRNA from 1 species
CAGCCGCCACGGUAACACGGAGGGCGCGAGCGUUACCCGGAUUUACUGGGCGUGAAGGGCGUGUAGGCGGCCUGGGGCGUCCCAUGUGAAAGGCCACGGCUCAACCGUGGAGGAGCGUGGGAUACGCUCAGGCUAGAGGGUGGGAGAGGGUGGUGGAAUUCCCGGAGUAGCGGUGAAAUGCGCAGAUACCGGGAGGAACGCCGAUGGCGAAGGCAGCCACCUGGUCCACUUCUGACGCUGAGGCGCGAAAGCGUGGGGAGCAAACCGGAUUAGAUACCCGCGUAGUCCCUGUCUCUUAUAC